CAGAACUACAUGGAACUACAUUUAUUCAAACGGAUGCUCUCAUUCUAUCUAAUAGUGACGCUAUAUUGGUUAUAUAAUCUGAAAUAUAACACCACAAGCUUCAGAAUAAAAUCACCCCCUGGUGAAUAAUCACCUUCCGCAAAGACAAAGUUCCAUUUUUCAGCCCUCUUUCAACAAGCUGCAGAUAAACUACAGAUAUAUUCCUCACAACGGGAACAGGUGACACCGUGUACAUUGAUACUUAUCGGAUACUGUGUGUAUAACAAUAGUAAAAGUAUCCCACUUGAAUAUCCACAGGACAUAUCACUACUGUUACCUACAUCAACAUUGCUGUUCCAUUCAAGAGAUUUCUUUGUUAACAUUUCCCCCGUUACAUUCCUUGUAGCUAGCACCUCCAACCCUCCACUUUAACCACAGGAGAACAUCAUCGAAACUGUAGGAGACCUUCAUUACUCUCAGGGACAAUGAGUAACACUGAUAUAGUUUUUUAACUGUUUUUAAUUGUUUCAUUUUUUGUCCCACA